rnacentral:rRNA from 1 species
AAUCAACGCUGGCGGCGUGCCUAACACAUGCAAGUCGCACGAGAAAGGGAGCAAUCCCUGAGUAAAGUGGCGCACGGGUGAGUAACACGUGACUAACCUACCCUCGAGUGGGGAAUAACCUAGAGAAAUCUGGGCUAAUACCGCAUAACACUUACGAGUCAAAGCAGCAAUGCGCUUGAGGAGGGGGUCGCGGCAGAUUAGCUAGUUGGCGGGGUAAUGGCCACCAAGGCAAUGAUCUGUAUCCGGCCUGAGAGGGCGCACGGACACACUGGAACUGAAACACGGUCCAGACUCCUACGGGAGGCAGCAGUGGGGAAUUUUGUCGCAAUGGGGGAAACCCGUGACGCAGCAACGCCGCGUGGAGGAUGAAAUCCCUUGGGAUGUAAACUCCUUUCGAUAAGGGAAGAUAAUGACGGUACCUAUAGAAGAACG